GAUCUGGUUCAGGAUGAACGCUAGCUACAGGCUUAACACAUGCAAGUCGAGGGGCAGCAUGUGGUGCUGCAACCAAUGAUGGCGACCGGCGCACGGGUGAGUAACGCGUAUCCAACUCCCCUUAGUAGAGGAUAGCCCGGCGAAAGUCGGAUUAAUACUCUAUGUUCUUCAAUGCGGACAUCUAAGUUGAAGCAAAGAUUUAUCGCUAAGGGAUGGGGAUGCGUCUGAUUAGGUUGCAGGCGGGUAACGGCCCACCUGGCCUACGAUCAGUAGGGGUUCUGAGAGGAAGGUCCCCCACACUGGUACUGAGACACGGACCAGACUCCUACGGGAGGCAGCAGUGAGGAAUAUUGGUCAAUGGGCGCGAGCCUGAACCAGCCAAGUAGCGUGCAGGACGACUGCCCUAUGGGUUGUAAACUGCUUUUAUCAGGGAAUAAAGUGAGGCACGCGUGCCUUUUUGUAUGUACCUGAUGAAUAAGGACCGGCUAAUUCCGUGCCAGCCGCGGC
rnacentral:rRNA from 1 species